ACCGACAUCUAUGGCAUGCUUGACGGCAAUUUCUCCUUCAUUGUUUUUGGACUGCAAAUAGAGAAAUAUAAACCAUGUGCUUUUUAGCUCGUCUUUGGUCGAUGAUAGUUGGAUUAUUUUAUGAUCGCCCUCGAGUACGAUUCAGUAUAAACACCAUAGAGAAUGCCAAGAUGCGAGAAAAUAACAAUCGGAAUAACAUUAGGCAUUAUAUUAACCAGCAAAAGCGAUUGGCACGCGCAAGAUAUGAGAAACUAUGAUUUUUGGAUGUUAUAAAAAUUCUCAAGCCUUUAUUCCAUUUUUCCAAUUGCUGUCUUUCCGACACCGACAGAGUAAAGUCAAAAAUUUGCAAAUUCUCAUACAAAUGAUUAGUUUGGGCUGCCUUGGGUAUUGGUAUUAGACCUAUGUCCACCUGUAUUUAUAAUAAAAAAUAAAUCAAAUGAUAAAAAUUGAA